UCAAAUGUCAUAAAGGCAAUGAGUGCGUCGCCCCGCUGACCAUGUUGCAUCAUCGUCAUCGAUGCUUGCCUUUGGCUACAGAACGGGAAAGGCGAUGUACUCGAGCCUCCUCCGACGGCCAUGUAACGGCAGACAAAUGCUCCUGCUCACUUUUCCAGCAGCGAAACUCCUUCUUGGCUCGCUCCUCCUCGCCCUGGCGGCGCUACCCGGCUGGAGACCGCGGCUUCCGCGUCUGCUCGCAGAAGAAACGUACGUGUGGCGAAGCCGGAGACCAAGCGCCCGACCGCUCUUUGGGCACACGCAUCCGCGCGAUACGUCGGCGAGGCUGUAGGCCGUUUGCGAGGUUGCCGCCUUCUUGAGGUGCGGCCGCUGCAAGGCCGUACGCUAUCUGUGGAAACACAAGGUGAAAGCUUUCGGUAGGAUCCAUGGAUCUUGACUUCAGCAUGUGUUUUGGUUAUCUGAAAGUCAUGGACGUGACAUUACCAGAAAUCAAAUCAAAUAAGAGACGGUCAGUUUUCACUAUCCUACAAAUUACUUCAGAACUCUCUCCAUAUAAGUUCAUCUUUUUCAAAUUUAAAGCUUUCCAAAAGUCAGUUUCCGAGUUCCAGCCAAAUCCGGUGAACCACGCACCAACUUGGGCCACUUUCACCAUAAUUGACACAAAUAUAAAUGAUUGUUUAUCCGCUUUGGACUUUUUUGCCUCUUAUGCUUUCUUAUUUUAAUAUACUGUUAAAUCUGGAGUUAUGUAAUCACCGUAAAUUCCCUUUUUGGGAACUAUGGGAAUAUAUUGGCUGGUGCAUUAUAACCCCUCCUUUGGGAACUAUGUCAUCUUGUAAGAAUUACAACUUUUUUGUUCUUAAGUGUUGUCUAGUCGUCAACAACCAUACCAGAAAGGAGAGUGCAAUCCAAAUUGGUGAGUUUUUCAACAUUGUGUAUCUGCUGCUUGUGUCUGCCAGUUACCAAUUUCGUCCCUUGUCACUGACCUUUGACAAGUUUGAUGUAUCAGGAUCAUCAAGCUGCGUUCUUCCAUGGCUCUAGUUACAUUCAAAACAAAGGCAGAGAGACUGUACAAGAAUCUGGAUAAGAUGGAGGCUUCUUUGUCUGCUAACAUAUCUGAGCAGCAGGGACAGUACUAAUUUACAGUUCCUAAGUUGCUGUUCAUUCUAAGCCAUCUCUGGAGGCAGUUUGAUGCUGCAAGAACCUACACAAGGCUGACUGAAGACGUGAAGCCUGAGAAGCUUCUGUCUAUAAGGGCAAAGCUAACACAACAGCUGAUAGGGAUGCCCUUUCUUCCGAGGUCCAGAGAUCAACAUGUUGGCUGAAGGCCUCCACACCCUGAUUACUUGCAUGGACUAGGAAACUGAAACUGAUGACUGGAAAAAUACAAUGGAUCUCAUAUAUAUACAUGAUCCAGGGAGCAUUUAUUUAUAGUGGAUAUAUGGUUUCUUUUCCUGUGGGUGUUAGAGAGCAUUGAUCAAUGGUUGUUUGAGGCUGCUAGUUCUUUGUGCCUUUUUAACUCAAAUAAAGAUCAUAUAGUGUGACAA